GUUAAAAAGCUCGUAGUUGGAUUUCUGUCGGUGAGGUUCAGUCCGCCCUCUGUGGUUGGUACGUGAUCCGCCACCGGCAUCUUCCUGGGGAAUGUGUCUGCUCUUUAUUGAGUGGUACAUAAGCCAGGACUUUUACUUUGAAGAAAUGAGAGUGUUUCAAGCAGGCAUGCGCCGUGAAUACGUUAGCAUGGGAUAAUAGCAUCGGACCUCGUUCCAAAGCUGUUGGUUUCUUGGACCGAGGUAAAGGUGAAUAGGGAUUGUUGGGGGCAUUCGUAUUUGACUGUCAGAGGUGAAAUUCUUGGAUUUGUUGAAGACGGACUACUGCGAAAGCAUCUGCCAAAGAUGUUCUCAUUGAUCAAGAACGAAAGUUAGGUGAUCGAAGACGAUCAGAUACCGUCCUAGUCUUAACCAUAAACUAUGCCGACUGGAGAUCGGGGGUCGUUAAUUAUGUGACGCCCUCUGCAUCUUGAGAGAAAUCAAAGUCUUUGGGUUCCGGGGGGAGUAUGGUCGCAAGGCUGAAACUUAAAGGAAUUGACGGAAGGGCACCACCAGGAGCGGAGCCUGCGGCUUAAUUUGACUCAACACGGGGAAACUUACCAGGUCAAGACAUAGAGGGGAUUGACAGACUGACAGCUCU
rnacentral:rRNA from 1 species